UUAAAAACUCAAUUAUCGUAAAAAAACUUCCAACAAAACACAGAUAACGUUCUUACUUCAAGUUUUAUAAUAGGUUGAUUCACUCUGAUUUUUAAGCUAACGGCAUAAGACUUGAAUUUCUGAGCGUAAAUUUGGUAGGUUACGCGUUUGUACGACGGAGAUAACACAUGCGGGUGUGGCGUCAUCUUAAUAUUUCUUAUAAGUUAUAAUUUAUAUAGAAUUGAGUACCUAAAUUUAAUAUAAUUAUUUAUAACAAUAAACGAUAAGACAGUCGACAUACAUGAUUGGCCAACAGUUUAAUUUUAAAGAAAAUAUCAAAAAUAGAAUUAUAAAAUAUGUAGGUACCUACUUGUUCAAUCAGCAGCAUCAAAUGAAUUCGUCUCUCAUACUUAAAGAUCCUGUGCAAACUCGUUUUCAAUCCCUACUCACGUCUGCAAACACAAAAAUGCCACACAAGAAUUUGUUGGCCGCACACCGAACUCUCCUCAGACAAAUUAUUAGCUUAUGACAUUGCAAGACUAAAUGAGGCAUAUUUGUAAGGUCCACCCAGCAAUCUUCUUCAUCUUCAUCAUUACACUCCACUAGUAACUUUAAACAUAUCAAUGCAUAUUUAUUUAUUAAUAUUAUUUAUGAUUGUAAAUAUAUAUGGUAUUAUUAAGUAUCAAUGUCAAA